UGACUAAGUUUAUACUUUUACACCCUUUC
rnacentral:piRNA from 1 species